UUCCACCCAGAAAGAAGUGGACAUAAAGGAAAGAUGUAUUCUUAACUUCUACAUGGUCCCUGGCUUUAAUGAACAAAGGAAUGAACAAAAGAUCUGAAGUACAACUUCAGUGAACACAAAGUUCAGAAGGCUGUGAAAGGAAGCCAUGGUUCAGACAUUGGCAGGAAAGCCAAUAAGGUUCUAACCUGUGGAGAGACCCCAGAGGUUCCUCCUCUCCUUCAGGAUAACCAGAAGAGAAAGAAGUUGUCUUGAUGUGGGGAAGAAGCAAAGAAAUGAAAACUGGGGCUGGGCAUUUUUCCCUACCCCUCAAUUUGAACAGUGCCUUUUAUUUCAUUUCUGCUUCUUCCCUACUGAUUUGGCCAUCAGGGGCAAGAACUUUGAAGAGUUCUAUUUCUUCUCUAAUGACCUCAUACCUCUGCCCCUUCCAUGCCACUGCACUACAAGAAAACUGUUGAGUCACCUCCUAUGAAGGACAACAGAGCUGACCUUGGAGGACAUGGGCCAGGAGAUCUAAGAUGAGAUUCCCAGGACUGCUACCUAGGUCCAACUUAGACUCUGAGAACCAAGGAAAAUGAACCUCACCCAAGUUCCUAGGUGGCAACUGAGGACCAGCCCACUGGGAGGCCAGCUGGGGUCCCAAGCCUGGUUAUUCAAAGUAUGGGCUCUAGAACAACAGCCCUGGCAUCAUCUGGAGUGUUUAGGAUGUAGAAGCUCAACUCCCAGUCCCCACUUAACACAUUAGACCUCUGGGUGCUUUUGGCGAGCAUAAAAUCUUGAGAAGUACAUCUCAGAGAACCCGAGGCAAGGUCAAGGAUCAGUCAGGGUUGGUUGAGGGACUGAACCUCAGUAGGGUUGGGAGUGAGAGCAGGUCAGAAGGGAGAGAAAUACUUGAAGCUGUCUCCACGAGCUGUGGGUAUAUGGUUAUGUGGUAUGCAGGUAUAUCUAGACUCUAAAAGGGGUUUGAAUUCUCCAGUCAGCCUUCUCUGAGACUGUAAAAGACAGGGGCCCAUCUUCCUCCUUCAUCUGUUCCAGACCUACCCAGACAUCUCAGAGCUCCAAGAUAUGUACUCAUUCUUUGUUGAACUGAAUGGGGUCCCCCAGAAAUCCCACUAGUCAUAUAUCCUGAGUUUAUGAUCAUAGAGAGUCACCUUUGAUUCUGCAUCUCCCCCAGGAAUCUCUUGGUGUAAUAAGUAUGCUUGGGUGUUUUCUGUAGCACAAAUCAAAGCAAAACAAAAUACCCUGCUGGGUCACAGCAGAUCCAGCACCACAUCCCCCGAGAGUUCAGGCGGUGUCCAAAGAACUCAUCAUGAGAGCUGACCUGCUAAUGUGUGAUUUCUGCAAAAGGGCCAACGAACCUGCUGGCUCCCAUGACGGCUGUCUGGAAAGUCAGUGCCCAGGCGCCAAAUCCAGAGGUGCGCUUUGUACUUGGAGAGACAGAAUGGCCAGCCACCUCGAGGCUUCAGGAGCUGGAUCAGUGCACAGCAGCCUCCAACUGGCAAGAGUUAAUGCUAAGGUGCAGCUGCAGGAAUGUGAAGCUGGAGAGCUAGCUCGGGGAAUUGCUAUUGCAAUCAGAGGACAGCCCAAGUCAGAGUUCCAAAACCCUUUGAAGGGCUGCCAGCUCGGACACAUGUCUCCAAUUAUCAUAUGCAAUCUUGAGGCAGUGUGCAAGCUGCACUUUCAUUAUGUCAAAGUGAAAGGAGUGGUGAGGGAGAGAUAAAGUGGGGAGAGGCCGCCAGGCCGGAGACUGCUUCGCUGUGGCACCAAAUGUCAGCCCGGGUGCAGAGUGAGCCUCCAACGUAUGUCUGUCCGGGAGCCCGAGGUGUGUGGCUCCUACUCUGAGAGCCUUUGUUUUCUUUCUUUCAUUCUGAGGAUGGAGGAGAACCAGCUGACAGCCACAGGAGGCCCUGUCUCUAGGAAACUUGACCAUCUCUUUGGUAUUGGAUCUGACCACAGAUAAGAUUCUGUGGAAACUUCCCAGGGACAUCCACUGUGUCCAGCCACAGGCUUUCAGGUUAUUUCUUAAAAUUUUUCAAGGUCUGUAUUUCCAUGGGGAGCCGGUUCCUUUGCCUGGUGUAACUAAGAAGGAGGCAUAAGAAUAGAUAGCUCCUUCUUGCCUAUCCAGGGUUGGCUGUUUCUAGGCUGGGUUUUGCUUUUUUUUUUUUCAUUCUGAACCAAGUCCUAGCCCAGGAGACCAUUGCCCUCAACUUCAUUUUCCAAACACAGACCAAUAGAUUUUCCUCAGAGACAUCUCCCAGGCUUAUCUCUUCCACACCAUUGCCUCUUAGGACUGAGCUCAUCAUUUGGAAUGGAUAUUUGACUGAUCCAUGUGUUACUCUGUGUUUUUAAGUAAGUUUGCAGAGGUAUGGGAGGGUAGAACAUAUACUUUCUGGCUUCUUCUUAGCUCUCAAGAGUUAUUUAUACAUGCAUGCAGACUCACAUAUUUACACAUACAGUUUUAUGUAUGAAUAUGUCUUUACAUAUUGUAUUUACAUAUGUACAUGUAUUAUCUGUGUUAUAUGCAAAAUUGCUGCUGUACUAAGGACUUUAUAAGAUAGCAACAGAAUUUCCAUUACCACCCUUGUUUUGCAUUAAGAGAAGUGACAUUUAGAGCGAUAAGGAGCUUGCCAGCACCAUUCAACCAAGCUAGUGGUGAGGCCAGGCUUGGGCUGUGACACUCUGGUCACAAUCCUCAUAACAUCUCCGUCUGAAAUCCAUUCAGUUGUCUCCCAUGCUGUGUACCCAGGAAAUGUCACUUGGAGUAGUAUUCCAUUUAUUGAUGACAUAGGGGGUGUGCAGGGAGAGGAGACAUGCUAGGACUGGUGGCUGUGAAGAAAAAGGCAAGAACUAAGUUAUGCCUUACCUGCCCUGAGAUCCUGCUUAAGCAGACACUUGCCUGCUGUCUGGAAGAUUGGGCCGUGAUGUGGAAGAGACAUAGCUGGAAUGCACCCCUCACCAGGAAGCAGGCCUGGGUUAGAGGAAUCUCCUCAGUUCAUUGCUGUGGUUAAUUCUGGCCAACUUUGGCCCCUGGGCCCCCUGAGCCUCCUCCGCAAACCCAGAAGAACUCUGGAGAGGUCAGAGCAUUUUUAUUCACCAAUCCAAGUGAAAUGCAGCAAAACACACUCCACAUGCUUGACACGUGGAAAUUCUCAGAGCCAGCGGUUGAUAAAUGUGCCAAACUUGAGGAGUAAACAUCCCAGAGAAGGCAGAGCUGCAUGCAAGCCUUCCUGGCUUCAUCAGGUGGUUAUAUUAGCUUCAGAGCCUGGAGGCUAGCUCAUAACUAAUCCGUACAAGGUGUUGAGCCCUGUGCCUGGUAGACAGUGAGUAAGGUCUCAGUAGGUGCUAAUAGGCACAUUAGUACACUCGCUAUUACUAGUCGGAAGGAACCGAUCGGAUAGUUAUAACAACACUAGUAGCCAAUGAGCUUACUCGCCUCAUGGAAAACCAUCCCACCACAUUCUAAGGGCCUUCUAGUGUGCAAUUGACUCUAGUUUUCAAAACUAGAAUUUUGUUACAUAUUUCUUAAAUGCUAGGUACAUACAUACACAUAUAUACAUGUACACAUAUAUGUACACACACACACAUAUAAUCUUAGUUAUUGCUAGACUUUCUGAGAACUUAACUCCUAGAUGGUUGUUAAGAACUGUGUGGAAAGGCUGACAAGACGGCUCAGCUUGCAAGCUUGGCAACCUGAGUUUGAUUCCUGUGAGAACCCCUCCAUGAGGUUGUCUUCUGCCCUCCAUACAUGUUACAUGGCAUGUAUGCUAAAAUACACGCCCCCCCCCACACACUCAGUACAUUUGACAAAAGAACCUUGCUUAAGAUAACCCAGUCCAAGCUCUCCAUGUGAUGUCCAAGUCUGUUUCUUCAUCACUACUCUGGAACUUCUGGAACCUACAUGAUCCCCAUGAACCCAGGUUCAGGCAGGAUCUGCCCAGGGCACUGCCAUUCUGCUCCUCCCCUUCUGGGCACAGCUGUACACAUCUGUAUUCCAUGAUGCCCACUGAGAAGAGGGCUUCUCUAUCCCGUCUGUAAUGCACCAGUAAACAAACAUCCAGUGAGCCCUAGCAUGGCUGUUCCUUUCUUAAGUCAGCACAGGGUUGCUCAUAGCUGUGGCUUCUGACCCUUGCCCAGGACUUAACCGGUUUCAUGGCUUUACUUCAUGCUCACAAUCCUGCGAUUAUUUUCACAGCCGCCCAGUGUAAAAGGAGCUGUGCUUUGCCAGCAUUUGCAGAGAGGACUGAGAGAGCCAGCCUCAGGACUCAGCUCUGCUGUCAGCAUCCCCGAACUUGUCCCAUUACAGAGGGCUGCUUCCUCUCCACCAUGGGCAGCUGAUGACUUUGGCUCUGUGUGGCCCAGUGCCUGCAACUGUUCUGUUCCUGCCUUUAGUAGGAAGACCAUGAGGUCAACACUGAGGACAGGUCUCUGUGUUCCAGAUAACCUGGGCUUCCCCUUGGUUCUUCUUUUCUUGUUUAUUUUUUUCUCACCAGCAUAUAGGCCAGGCAUCCCAGAUGUGGCAGGACCUGCCCUCUAUCCUCAACUCCAGGUCUGAGGCAGGUGUCCCCCACAGGGCUUAAAAUUUUGGGCACACGCCUGUGGUCCACAGGAACUGGCCUAGCCAUUUGGUGGUGCUGAAGACCCGUGACUAUCUCUGCCUUCUGUUAGGAGUGGGAGAAGCUCAUGGUCUGACUAGCGGUGGGGAAGUCCAAGGGACAAACGGGGGCUCUAACCAUAAUCAGAACACCAGUGCUGUCGGUCUGCUCCUGGAACCAGGAGAGGUGGCAAAAAAAAAAAGGAUCUUGGAGAGAGAGGGUGGACUGGGCGAGCAGAGGAGACAGUGGGUUAGUGCUAGUUUUCUGUGACAGGUUGGAGGAUGUCUUCAGAUGAAAGAAGGUGCCAAAGAGAAGAGGGAAACCAAGGUAGAAAAAUCUUAGGAAGAAACGGAUGAAAAAGCAUGGAAUGGGCUUCUCUAUGAACACAAUGGAAUAUUUGGAGCUGCCUUUUCCUUAUGCUCAAGGGGUUGGGACCCUGGCCGUGCAGUGACCUCUCGGGGAAGCCAAGAUAGACUGCUAGCUGGAACUUCCCCCCACACAGGGGAAGAGUUCAAGCUGUGGAAAGGCCCUGGCCUGAGGUGGGUUUGGACUGCUUACACUCUGACCAGCCAAACUGAUAGCUCCUUGUGCUGUGUGAAAACACUGGCUUCCACAUUGUGACUGCAGUGUUCACCGAGAGCACAGUUUGCCUUUGGGGGAGCAAUGGUGCUGUGGUGGCAGGGAGGCUGUUUCUACCAGUAACUGUAGAACUUCUUUCCUGGAAAUUGGGUGCCCUCAAUGGGUCUCCAUUAGAGAUUCAGGUGACACGUUAGCCCUGUUAGCAGGCCAGGGAGCCAACGGCGUUUUUCAGAUAUCCCAAAGAGUCUGACAGUACUGGGGCAUGGCUCUCUACAAGUGGCUUUACUGGUGUAGCCACUCAGAGGCACAGCUGCUCUGCCUAAAAGCUUCCAGAAUGUCUCCCUCGCCAGCACUGUCUUCACAUCCAGGACUUAGCAGCUCUGUGUGCCCCUAGGAGAAAGACCUUUAGAACCUAUCUCUUCACAAGAGGGGCCUGGGACUUCUGAGGCCAUGGAAUAGGAACCCUGCAAAACCCACAGACACCGGCUAGUGGGAGGACUCCCUUUAUCUGACAAAGCAUCUCAGCACGGAAUGUUCUGGGACAAAAUUGAGGCUUGAGGGAAGCAACCACAACAACAAAAAAAACAAGAUGAAGGGGAUGGUGACUACAUCCUGCUCUGUGGAGGAUUCUGCAGUCUCUCUGUUACCUUUGCUGCUCUUAAGACAGUGGUCAUGAGUACAUUCUGUCUGUUUCCUUUCCUAUUUAGAGGAAAGGAAAGCAGCUGUGCCCACCUGACUUGGCCCCUCUCCCCUCCAUCUUCCUGGGCUUAUUUGUGUUAGUCUUACUAUGUUUGUCUUUAUCUGUUCUAUAGCAACCCUCGUCUCUACAGGUCUUAAUGGUCCCAGCUAGUUCUGGUCACUUGUGGAAAACGUCUCAGGAAGAAUAAAAAGUUUUCAAAAGUUCACUUCUGACUGGUUACUGACUUUCUAGUUGGAAGCAGAUGCUGGGGUACUAGGCCACUGACAGUUGCUGCUAGAGCUGUUUGUGGGUGGCAAGAAGUUUGGAAGCCUUACUGUUUUCUUGGGGUAGGGAUGCCUUUCUACAGGAAGCCACAGGGGAAUAAUGGAGAGGCAGCCAUCAUUGUUAAGGUAAUCUUAACAUGAAAUCAGAUAUGCCAUGACAGGC
rnacentral:lncRNA from 1 species